UUUGCAGAUCUCACUUAGACUUUUCAGCAAAACACUAAACACAUUCUCAUUCUGAAAACACAUUAUGCACUCUAAUGCACACGGUAAACACAAGUGGCAACAAUCAAAACAAAUAGAGAAGACAUGUCAUUGAUUGGACACAACCACUCAAAAUUGAUUUAACCUGUUUCAAAUGAUGCGACACAACCAAUAUAAGUCAGUUCAGAGAGCAAACAGGCUGUUGAAGGUGGGAAGGAGAAAGUCUGAGAAUGGAUAGAAUAAACAAUGUGAGAGGAGUGCGUAUGCGAGGUGGGCGACGAGGAGGAGGGCAAGAAAGAGGAAGAAGAUGAUGAAGAUGAUGAAGAGGAUGACAAAGAGUGUAAAUAUCUGAUGAAAUCCGAGCAACAGUUAUAGACCAUGUUCUUGUCCAUGGACUGACAAUGAGGGAAGCAGGACUUAAGAGUGCAACCCAAUUUGAGCCGAUUUUCUGUGUUCACCAUAGUAAGGACAUUAAGAGAAGAGAACAGAAUUGCAAGGCUGCCACAUGCAGGUGGAGGGACAGCUAUAUUCACUCGGGAGCAAGAGGCCGUUAUAGUUGGCAUGGUCCUUCAAGAUAAUGCAAUACGACUCAGAGAAAUCCAGGAACGAGUGAUACAAGACAACACACACUUCCAGGGAAUCAACAGUGUGAGCAUUUACACAAUUGACCGUGUCCUCCAUCGUAACAGGAUGCGAAUGAAACAAGUACACAGAGUACCUUUUGAGAGCAACUCACCAAGGGUGAAAGAACUACGAGCUCAGUAUAUGCAAACAAUAUUUGACUUGGAAUCCUUGGACAGAUCCCAUGAGUUCAUCUUUGUUGAUGAAGCAGGCUUCAAUCUAACAAAAGAGAAGGAGAGGCAGAAACAUGAUUGGACAGCGGGCCAUUGUUGAAGUCCCUGGUCAACGAGGUGGCAAUGUCACAAUCUGUGUGCUGCUAUCAGCAACCAUGGUGUUCUACAUCACCAUGUUACACUCGGGCCAUAUAACACCCAGCACCUUCUAAGAUUUAUUGCCAAUCUAAGAUAUACUUUAUUUGAGCAGCAGGUUCAAGAGCAGCAGGUUCAAGAGCUAAAUGAGAAUCCCAUUCCCACCUAUGUGAUAGUGUGGGACAAUGUCAGUUUCCACCGAGCUGCUCAGGUAAGGGAAUGGUUUAACAUCAAUGGGCAGUUUAUGAACUUGUACCUCCCUCCAUACUCGCCUUUACUGAAUCCGAUUGAGGAGUUUUUCUCCUCUUGGAGAUGGAAAGUGUAUGAUAGACAACCCUACAUCAGAGUAAAUUUGCUGCAAGCCAUGGAUUUAGCCUGUGGUGAUAUAGGUGAGGAAUGAUGUCAGGGCUGGAUACGGUACUUAAGAGGCUUCUUCCCCCGUUGCCUCAGGAGGGACAAUAUUGCUUGUGAUGUCAACGAAGUAAUCUGGCCUGACCCAGCCCAAAGACAAGAAGAAGCACAUUGAUCACAUGUUUACUACUUUGAUUUUUGUCCCUUUUAGUAUUGUAUACUGUAGUACUGUGCAUUGUAGGCUAUAUACGGUACAAUGGACAAAUUGUAUGGCCUGAACAUUGUGCUUUCCAUGUAUUAACAGUACUGACUGCUUGCAGGUUCAUAUCA